UAAGAAGCACUACUUUGGUAUAAGGUGGAAAUGAACAAGUGCCAGUAACUAUAUUAAAUAUUUGACGUGAGUAGGUAAUUAUCAACCCUUUCAAUCAUAUAGUAUUAUAGUGUAAUAAAACAUUAAAGUGAUGUGUAAAGUUCUGGUGCUUACUUAUUCACAUCGGAGUGCUCUUCGCCGCCACUAACGCCUCCCCUGGGAAGAGAGGCAGAGCUACUUACCAUUCGGAGUACAAGGAGGCUAAUUUAGUGUGGCCAGACGUAGCUGCAGGCGCAAAAAAUAUGCCAACGAAAUAUGUGCCAGAAUUCCGAAUACGCAAAUACAAUGCCUGCCAAGAAUGUAAUCUCGAAAUGGCUGCGAGCGAAACAAGGAAAACAUAAACACCUACCAUGGUCCUAGCUAGGAAAUAAUUAUUGAAAAAUAUGAAUGCCAGCGAUCCGGAUAUACUAGAGGCAAGAGGCCAACUGGAGAUACUAAAAGGACCGGAGUAUGAUUUCGGGACAAGUACCUACAACGCAGUCCUCGACUUCAAUGCCACCUUCGAAAACGCCACUGGCUUGAACUCUACGAGCGGUGAUACAUGGGACGACUAUGUUAAGCUGCUCCAAGAUCGAGUGCUCCUCGUCAGCUUCUUGCUCUUGUUCUCCAUGACGACAGUGUUCGGCAACAUGCUGGUUAUUCUAGCGGUCGUGCGGGAACGGUACCUACACACUUCCACCAACUACUUUGUGACGUCCCUUGCAGUAGCGGAUUGUCUCGUCGGUUUAGUAGUAAUGCCAUUUUCGGCAAUGUACGAAGUGUUAGAGCAUACCUGGUUUUUUGGAGUGGAUUGGUGUGACGUUUGGCGGUCACUAGACGUAUUAUUUAGCACUGCUUCCAUACUUAACUUGUGCGUGAUCUCUCUUGACCGCUACUGGGCUAUUACUGACCCCAUAACAUAUCCAAUGAAAAUGAGCGGACGGAAAGCCGCUUUCCUGAUUGCGGCCGUAUGGGUAUGUUCCGGGGCUAUAUCGUUUCCCGCUAUUGCGUGGUGGCGAGCCGUUCGAUUGGAGGAAGUGCCGGAUUAUAAGUGUCCGUUUACGGAAAACUUAGGAUACAUUAUAUUCUCAUCGACAAUAUCAUUUUAUUUGCCUCUGUUUGUGAUGGUGUUCACUUAUUAUCGCAUUUAUCGCGCGGCGACUAUUCAAACGCGAUCGUUGAAAAUCGGUACUAAGUCGAUAAUGCGCCCGAGUGGCGAGUUAGAGUUGACGUUAAGAAUCCACCGUGGAGGCACGGUGCGUCAGCGCAGCGACGCCUGCCACGGCGUAUGUACGCCAGAGGAGGCGGACCAGGAGCCGCUCACGGCGCUGCAAAACAACGGCCUGUCUCGUUCUUCCACGCGCCUCACGAACGUCGCCACUCAUGGCAAACAUUUGCCAAAAAACUUCUCUUUGUCGCGUAAACUGGCCAAAUUCGCGAAAGAGAAGAAAGCAGCAAAAACUUUGGGAAUAGUGAUGGGAGUGUUUAUAGUGUGCUGGCUGCCAUUUUUCGUGGUGAACCUGCUAUCGGGGAUUUGCUCGGCGUGCAUCGCGCACGAGGAGGUGGUCAACAUGAUUGUCACGUGGCUAGGCUGGGUCAACUCUUCAAUGAACCCGGUCAUCUACGCCUGUUGGAGCAGAGAUUUUCGUAGAGCUUUCCUAAGGAUCUUAUGCGUGUGUUGCCCGCGCAAGCUACGGCGGAAGUACCAGCCCCAACUGCGCUCCAAACAGUCACAGUUCCGCUCAACUCGUCGCUAUUACUCAUCGAGCGAACUAACCGGGAUUCAGCAAAUUAGACAAAACUCCUGCGAACAAACUUACAUAUAGCGACUCUGCUUCACUCUAUACAAUCUACAUUUCUCCUUCAGAUUUCCAAGUGCCUUGUUGAGAUUUUUUCUAUUCUUUGUCUAACUUUGCUUAAAUUAGAUUUCUAUAAAAGAAUAAUUGAAGACAAACAAGUAAACUUUACUCAGUGAGUUUUCUGAGAAAAAACUUCAUCAUAACAGAUGUUGUAGAGUAUCCAGUAUCAACAAUGAUGUACUCGUCGGUGUCGCAGCACGAGAUGUGUCGCUUGUGACGACAGGCGCGCGCGGGCACAUGCCGGCCGCCGCGCGCGCGCUGCUCCUGAUGCCGGGACCCGUUGGAGGCGCGCCCGCGCUCCAACAGACGCCACUCGAGACACCACCCCGACUCAUUUCGCAUGAGGACUUUGGAACAUUCCUUCGAUAAUCCCAUACCGUGCGUGGAACGCAACGUGUGCCCGGACACUGUGCCCUACUGUCCGGACUCUGAGUCCAGUGAAGUGAGCCUGGAGGGUGACAGUCGGCAUCAGUCGUUUAAACGAAACGUGACUAAGAAAGUCACCUACCAAACCAAAGCAGAAGUGAUCUCAAGUUAAAAAAAUAUAUAUUGUGAUUUGAUUGAAUGUGAAUCCUCUAAAUGUGCUUACGCUUUAUUUAAAAGGUGAUGGAUUGUUUAUUUAUUGUAAAUAUGUCGAUUAUAAAAGCCAGAUUCUAUCAAUUAGUUACUAUCUGCCACUUUUUAAAUGACGCUAUAGUUUCAAAGAUAACUUAGUUAUCUAGUAAUACAUAAGAAUAAUAAUUAUAUGGUUGUAUACCUUUCUAGUCAUUCUAAGAUCGAAUCUUUUGUUCUUGUCGUAAACCUCAACUUUACCUUAACAAUUUUAUUCA